rnacentral:misc_RNA from 1 species
GAUGAAGAACGCAGCGAAAUGCGAUACGUAGUGUGAAUUGCAGAAUUCAGUGAAUCAUCGAAUCUUUGAACGCACAUUGCACCUCUCGGUAUUCCGGGAGGUAUGCCUGUUCGAGCGUCAUUUGUACCCUCAAGCUCUGCUUGGAGUUGGGUGUUUGUUCCGCCUCUGUGUGUGAACUCGCCUCAAAACAAUUGGCAGCCGGCGUACUUGUUUCGGAGCGCAGCACAUUUUGCGAUCCAGAUCAACGUACAGCGGCAUCCAAGAAGCCUUAUUUAACGCUCUUGACCUCGGAUCAGGUAGGGAUACCCGCUGAACUUAAGCAUAUCAAUAAGCGGAGGA